UACGUAGGGGGCAAGCGUUGUCCGGAUUUAUUGGGCGUAAAGAGCUCGUAGGCGGUUUGGUAAGUCUGGUGUGAAAUCUCCACGCUCAACGUGGAGGGGCCACUCGAUACUGCCAUGACUGGAGUCCGGUAGAGGAGUGUGGAAUUCCCGGUGUAGCGGUGAAAUGCGCAGAUAUCAGGAGGAACACCGGUGGCGAAGGCGGGACUCUGGGCCGAUACUGACGCUGAGGAGCGAAAGCGUGGGGAGCGAACAGG
rnacentral:rRNA from 1 species